rnacentral:rRNA from 1 species
AUACGGAGGGUGCAAGCGUUAAUCGGAAUUACUGGGCGUAAAGCGCGCGUAGGCGGUUUAGUCAGUCGGAUGUGAAAGCCCAGGGCUCAACUUGGAAUUGCAUUCGAUACUGCUUGACUAGAGUAUGGUAGAGGGAAGUGGAAUUUCCGGUGUAGCGGUGAAAUGCGUAGAUAUCGGAAGGAACACCAGUGGCGAAGGCGACUUCCUGGGCCAAUACUGACGCUGAGGUGCGAAAGCGUGGGGAGCAAACAGGAUUAGAAACCCCAGUAGUCC